rnacentral:rRNA from 1 species
CCUACGGGAGGCAGCAGUGGGGAAUAUUGCACAAUGGGGGCAACCCUGAUGCAGCGACGCCGCGUGAGUGAAGAAGUAAUUCGUUAUGUAAAGCUCUAUCAGCAGGGAAGAAAAUGACGGUACCUGAGUAAGAAGCCCCGGCUAACUACGUGCCAGCAGCCGCGGUAAUACGGAGGGGGCAAGCGUUAUCCGGAUUUACUGGGUGUAAAGGGAGCGUAGACGGCAGUGCAAGUCUGGAGUGAAAGGCGGGGGCACAACCCCCGGACUGCUCUGGAAACUGUACGGCUGGAGUGCAGGAGAGGUAAGUGGAAUUCCUGGUGUAGCGGUGAAAUGCGUAGAGAUUAGGAGGAACACCAGUGGCGAAGGCGGCUUACUGGACUGUAACUGACGUUGAGGCUCGAAAGCGUGGGGAGCAAACAGGAUUAGAUACCCCGGUAGUC